CUUGUUAAUAAUAGGAGGUCCAGCCUGCCCAGUGACAAAGUUUAACGGCCGCGGUACCCUAACCGAGCGAAGGUAGCAUAAUCACUUGUUCUUUAAAUAAGGACUUGUAUCAAUGGCACCACGAGGGUCGUACUGUCUCCUUUCUCCAAUCAGUGAAACUGAUCUUCCCGUGAAAAAGCGGGAAUACACAUAUAAGACGAGAAGACCCCAUGGAGCUUUAAACCUCCAGCAACUUAACUAUAAAUUCCUUCACACCCCUAAAGAAAUGCUUGUUGGUUUUAGGUUGGGGUGACCACGGAGUAAAAACUAACCUCCGCAACGCAUAACCUAAAUUUUUAUUUAAGAGCCACAACUCUAAAAAAUAGUAUACUAACGUACACUGAUCCGAUAAUCGAUUAAUGAACCA
rnacentral:rRNA from 1 species